rnacentral:rRNA from 1 species
GAUGAACGCUGGCGGCGUGCCUAAUACAUGCAAGUCGAGCGAACAGACGAGGAGCUUGCUCCUCUGACGUUAGCGGCGGACGGGUGAGUAACACGUGGAUAACCUACCUAUAAGACUGGGAUAACUUCAGGAAACCGGAGCUAAUACCGGAUAAUAUAUUGAACCGCAUGGUUCAAUAGUGAAAGACGGUUUUGCUGUCACUUAUAGAUGGAUCCGCGCCGCAUUAGCUAGUUGGUAAGGUAACGGCUUACCAAGGCAACGAUGCGUAGCCGACCUGAGAGGGUGAUCGGCCACACUGGAACUGAGACACGGUCCAGACUCCUACGGGAGGCAGCAGUAGGGAAUCUUCCGCAAUGGGCGAAAGCUUGACGGGGCAACGCCGCGUGAGUGAUGAAGGUCUUCGGAUCGUAAAACUCUGUUAUUAGGGAAGAACAAAUGUGUAAGUAACUAUGCACGUCUUGACGGUACCUAAUCAGAAAGCCACGGCUAACUACGUG